rnacentral:rRNA from 1 species
AGCGGCGGACGGGUGAGUAAUGCUUAGGAAUCUGCCAUUUAGGUGGGGGACAACAUUCCGAAAGGAAUGCUAAUACCGCAUACGUCCUACGGGAGAAAGCAGGGGAUCUUCGGACCUUGCGCUAAAUGAUGAGCCUAAGUCGGAUUAGCUAGUUGGUGGGGUAAAGGCCUACCAAGGCGACGAUCUGUAGCGGGUCUGAGAGGAUGAUCCGCCACACUGGGACUGAGACACGGCCCAGACUCCUACGGGAGGCAGCAGUGGGGAAUAUUGGACAAUGGGCGGAAGCCUGAUCCAGCCAUGCCGCGUGUGUGAAGAAGGCCUUUUGGUUGUAAAGCACUUUAAGCGAGGAGGAGGCUACUAGUACUAAUACUACUGGAUAGUGGACGUUACUCGCAGAAUAAGCACCGGCUAACUCUGUGCCAGCAGCCGCGGUAAUACAGAGGGUGCGAGCGUUAAUCGGAUUUACUGGGCGUAAAGCGUGCGUAGGCGGCUUUUUAAGUCGGAUGUGAAAUCCCCGAGCUUAACUUGGGAAUUGCAUUCGAUACUGGGAAGCUAGAGUAUGGGAGAGGAUGGUAGAAUUCCAGGUGUAGCGGUGAAAUGCGUAGAGAUCUGGAGGAAUACCGAUGGCGAAGGCAGCCAUCUGGCCUAAUACUGACGCUGAGGUACGAAAGCAUGGGGAGCAAACAGGAUUAGAUACCCUGGUAGUCCAUGCCGUAAACGAUGUCUACUAGCCGUUGGGGCCUUUGAG